CCAGAGUACCUGCAACAGUUGUCUCACACGGGGGGUACUAUUGAACCUGAGACCCUGUUGUUAUCCCUAACAAUAAAAGAGGACAAGAACAUUGGCCCAAUCACAGAUGGUUUGGCUUGGCUGUAGACAGGCAGCUCUUUUGUAGACAUGAGGUCAAGAACAACGAUUCAAUGGACUUGCACAAUCAUUGUGAUUUGGUUGAUUGUGGAAUCACAUGCUCAAAAGAUUAAAAUGAAUCCAAACCGCUGGGGCCCUCAGUCAAUGAUGUAUCUCAAAGGAAAAU